CUGCAGGGCUUGGGCAGAGGGGUUGUGUGUGUCUGUGUGUCCAAGUCUGUCUUUGUGUGUCUGUGUGAUUUCACGUGUCAUUGUGUAUGUGUGUCUGUGUGUCAAUGGUAUGUCUGCGCAUCUGUGUCUAUUUGUCUCUGUAUCUGGGUGUAUGUCUGAGUGUGUGUGUGUAUUUGUAUGAAUGCAGCACGGGGAGAGGAGUGUGGCUCGUGGCUGAAGUCUGGAUUCAUGAAAGAGCCAGGGGGCUUGACUUUGGGUAAACCCAAGAUAUGGUUCUCUUCCCAGGGGCCAAGGGCUAGGUGGGGCUCUGGAGGGGACACAGGCUUCUCUGUCCUCUCCCACCCACGCUGCUGCCCCUUUGUUAUCUUAGAAAUGGGACAUUUUGCUGACUUUGCUUGGGUGUUAGAUUUGGGGUUUGGGGGAUUGGUGGAAAAGAUUUGCAACCUGAUGUUGGAGGCCAUGAAUUCUCCCGCCCCAACUCCAGUCUGAACUAAGGGCCUCAGGUGGGUGUGUUUGGAGUUGAAUGAACAUAUAUGCACUUGGUGAGUCUGGAGAUAGACGGGGUUAGGAGAAAAGAUUGGGCAGUGAAGGUGGCAGGGAUGAGGUGUGGCAUGGAGGACAUCCCCGUCAGCGUGAGCUAGGUUCCUAGCACAAUGUUCAACAUCAAGGUCAGCCUUACUGGGGAAAAGAGUCACAAAUAGGGACCCUUUGACCUUUAUGGGAUGAAGUGGCUUGCGGCCUUGCUGUAGGCUGAGCCAUUUGCCUCUAGCCUAUGUGCCAGGGCCAGAGGUCAGCCUUGGUGCUGGUCUGGCAUUCUAAGCCCUGGGGCAUGGCUGAAAGGCCCCAGAGAGCAACUUGGUGGCACCUCCUACAAAUUUGAGGGCGGGACAGUCCCUGGGUAUGUGGCCUCAAUGAAGCCUUGCCCACAUGCCCCAGCCCUGCACAGACACAUCAUGUAAGUUCACUGAUGUGCAUGUGUGUUCGCCCUGGGGCCUCUGCCAGGGAGCUGGAAGUGGCUCUCCCAGUUCUGGGGACAGGCCAGAUUUAUGGCACUGGGAGAAAUAUUUAGGCCUGAGACAGUUUGGUUGUGUUAAUUAUGGAAAUCUAAAGAUAAUCUAUAUUUAAUGCUGAAUUUUGUCAAAUUUGCUAAAGAAUUAGGGGAGCGUGUGCAAACAGUGACACUUCAAUGAAGAACAAGGUGCAAUUAAACUCUGAAAUUUACAGUGGAAUAAUUGGAGAGCAUGACAAAUAUAGUUAUCAGCAGCAACUAAUUAGGGGUCUGCUCGAGGUUUCUGGGCUUGAUUAAUCUUGACUGGAUGCUAAUAAGUUAUGCUAGGCAGCUGAUACCAUUUAUCCCCUCCUACUUUCCACCUUCUCUCCAGAGCACUGGGGGUGGGGAUGUGACCCAGCCAGCCCAUCCCUCUACGACCUGGCCUGCAGGGGAGAAUGGGGACAUUGCAGCUCCUGUGCUCAGACACCCCAGCCCAACUAAGGACGGCAGGAACCCCUUGGGCUGCCCCCGCUCAGGCAUCCUGGGGUCUUUAUGGUUGAUCUCUCACCCAGGGGGAAAGCCAGCUGUCAUGUCACGAGGACACUGAAGCAGUCCUAUGGAGAGGCCCAGGUGGCAAGGAACUGAAGCCUUCUGCUGAUAGCCAGCCAGGAACUGGGGCCUCCUGCCAGCAGCCACGAAGAGUGAGCCAUCGCAAAAGCAGGUCCUCCAGCUGCAGCCGAGCCUUCAGAUGACUGCAACCCUGGUGACCGUCUGAACUACAAUCUCAUGAGUGAUCCUGAGGCAGGAGCACCUGGCUAGCUGCUCCUGGAUUCCUGAUCCUCUGAAGUGGUGUGAGAGAAGAAACGAUGGAAUAGCUGAUGCUUGGAGAGACUGAGGUGCACCCUGUCAUCAAGGAGUUGGAGCAGCUGAAACUCUGACUCUCCGGAUGGGCCUGGC